UCAUUUUUCUCUAUUGAAAGGUUCAAAAUAAGGAUGAAUACAUCCAAAGUCAAUUAUACCACAUAAAAACCUUAUACUCCACCACAAACCAAGGUAUUUUACCCUACUAUUUUAAUACUAAACAUCUAAUUACUAUUGUUGAUUUAUAAUAUAACCAUGUUCUAUUGUAAUAACUCAAAUGUAAUAAUUCCAAUUUCAUACAUUUGGAUGAGCAAGUGGUAAGUAAAACAGACAAGAAAAAGUAUGUUUUUAGCAUAUAUUAACAUAUACCUCAAUAUGCCUUAUCCAGGCCACCCAUGCUAAAAAUGUACUAUAAACAGUUCAUCCUGAGGGUGUGACAAGAGACAAAACUACAAUUAUAAUUUGGCAAUCUUUCUAUGUUUUUUUGGCCAAACUAAGGAUGAAAAAUGAUAACUAAGGUCUCAGCUCUGCUAAAGAAAAGCAGUUUCACAAACCGGGUACAGAGGUUCACUCCUUUAACCCAAGCUAUUCUACAGGCAGAUAUUUGGAAGAAGGAGGAUUCAAGCUAGGCUAGGGCAAAAAACAAAAACAAGAUGUCAUCUGAAAAAGACAGGCUGCUAGUGGUAUCACCUAUUCAGGCAGCAUAAGCAGAAUUGUGAUCCAAAGCCAGCCAACUAUGGGCAAAAACACAAGAGCCUAUCUGAAAAAUAACUAAAGCAUAAGAGGUUGAGAUGUAGCUCAGAGUACCUGCCUGACAAGUGCAAGGUCUAAAUUCAAACAUCAACAGAUGGAAGGAAGGAAAGAAGAGAGGGAGGGAGAAAAGAAAACGGGCCACAUAAACUAAAGAACAUGUUUAUUAACCAGUCAUACUAUAAACCAAGAACAUGUUCAAAUCUCUAAUGCUGUUAACUUCAAAGACAAAACACAU